CUACGGGAGGCACCAGUCGAGAAUCAUCCGCAAUGGGCGAAAGCCUGACGGUGCAAUGCCGCGUGGGGGAUGAAGGCCCUCGGGUCGUAAACCCCUGUCAGGAGGGACGAAGAAGUGACGGUACCUCCAGAGGAAGCCACGGCUAACUACGUGCCAGCAGCCGCGGUAAUACGUAGGUGGCGAGCGUUAUUCGGAUUUACUGGGCGUAAAGGGUCCGCAGGGGGUUUGCCAAGUCUGGUGUGAAAUCUCACAGCUCAACCGUGAAACUGCGCGGGAUACUGGUGAACUAGAGUGCGCGAGGGGUGAGUGGAAUUCCUGGUGUAGCGGUGGAAUGCGUAGAUAUCAGGAAGAACACCAACGGCGAGGGCAGCUCACUGGCGCGCAACUGACCCUCAUGGACGAAAGCGUGGGUAGCAAACAGGAUUAGAUACCCCCGUAGUC
rnacentral:rRNA from 1 species